CGGGUCCGGCGGCGGACGUGGAAGUCCCCUUUAAGUUUCCAUAGAGAGGCCUCCGGGUGUCACAUGAUGGACAUGAUAUAACGAAACAACAUCGUGGGGAGGAAGGGAGGGAAGCAGUGGGGGAGCCCGGGGAGGCGGCGGGGUAGGCGGUGGUGCCCCCCGACCCGCCCGCCCCGGCUGCACCUGUCUCGGCGCGCCGGGAGCGCGGUGUCCGCCCCGCUGAUGGGGCUGCGGGCGGCACCUUCCCUCGGGGAGGGGACGACGAGGAGGAGGAGAAGGAGAGCCGGUGGCGGAGGUUUUCAUGGCUGUUCUGAUUCCUGUUGCUGCAGCCAGCGUGGAUCCGGAUGCCGUGGCUACAGAGGCUUGUUACUUUCUCAUGCUGGAUCCCUCAAAUCCAAGAGCUACUUGGCAGUUUCCAAGGCAACCACCUGUGGAAUAAUUAAAAAGGAUGAAGUGUUAGCCUGCCAGAUAUAAGGAAUUCUUGCCUGGAGAGAGCAUUUCACUUUCAUCUGCCUUGAAGAAUCAAAUGUGCUUCUGCCAGCAAAGUUAAGAAAAAGGAACGGUGGCUGAGUUGUACAAGUGAACCAGGACAAUCCAAAACGUGACUCAAAGCAGGAGGGAGCAGAUGGCAGCAUCGUUAGCUGGUGGCCACAGCCUUCCCAGAUGAGUUUUGGAAUUUCCAUCAAAGUCGGGAUUAGGCUCAGGAUAUGCCAGUGGCACAGAGCACGCCGGGGGAGCGUGGAAGAAGAGGAAAUCAUUCAUAGCGACUCAUCUCGUGGUUGGGUGCUGAUCUCACAAAGGUGUCCUGCAUAUGCCAAAGGACAAACAUGUUGUUUGAGGGAAAAGCUGUUCAUAAAUCUGUGCAAACUGAAAGAUUCUGAUGACAAACCUGUCAUUAGUGAAUUGUCCCAGAAGCACAUGGAGAAAGCUGUACAUGGUGGAGGCUGUUUUUUCUGAGGCUGAAACUCAUCUCAACUCCUCGUGACCAGCUGAGCAAGAGAGAUGGGAUUUGAUGCUAUCCAAGGUGUAAUUCCACAGUUCAUGUCUUUUGCUACUGCCAGCUUAAUAAGUUUCUGCCCACUCCCAGCCAUUCAUUUCCAGCCCAGCAGCAAUGCAGUGCCAUUCUCUUUCCUGACCGUGCGGAAAACCAGAUGGCUGAAAAUAACUCAGUCGAGAAAAGAAACCCUAUAUUUUGGUUUUUUUCCUUUGAAUUAGAAUCAUUUGAAUGAACUUCGUGGCCCAUGGGCAGUCGUAUUGGUACAACUGAAGGUGACAUGAACUGCAGCAUCAGAGGCAGCAGUGAGCACUGGAGGGUGUCCCAAUGCUAAGUGAUCUUGCUGUCAACAAAAAUCUGCUCUGGGACCAUAUCCUGGAUGAAGGGGUUUCACUAGCCACAGGAUUAUUUAUUGAACUGCUGCUUUUCAUUUAUUUUAUUAAGGAAGAUUAACAUCUUCUUGUUCGGGCAGGUUUAUUUUUUUUUACUUGAGGAGAUAAACCAUCUCUGUGAGAAGUCAGUCAGCUUUGUGGACAGCCAUGAAUGUCAAUAAAGUCUUGGCAAACACAGUAGGCAUUUAUUCAGCCUUGCAAAUUAAAAACAUUUUUCCUGCUUGUUUAGUGAAGGGAACAAAAAAAGACAAAUUACAUAGCGGAUGAGCUCUCUUGAUAGUUGGAAUUCAUUAAGCUGGUGGUGAAAACGCUGGGGGAUUGAUGGUGCAGAAAAAGAAAAGAUGAAGCAGCUUUUCCCCAAUAGCUGUGGUUUAAGUUCAAGUUGAAAAUGACCAAAAAAAAAAAUUCCCUUAAAGACAUCUGUAACUGACUUCACAGUCUCAAUUUCUGUCUGGGUAGACAGUUCUUUUCUCA